UUUAAUUUUUCUUUUUUUUAUUUUGAUUCCUUCACUGUUCUGGUGUGUCACCGCAACAUUGGAUCACUCUACACCCUAUUGAUCCAAAGGUCCAAAACGGUGGGUUUUGGGUUUAUGGUACAAGUGGAUACAGAGGGUACACGGAAUGGAGGGUGGAGAUUCAGAGAGAGAAAGAGGGUGCAUGGGGUCGUGGUCAUUUCUGGAACCCAAAUGGUAGGGUCUGGGUCUGGGGCUAUUGGUUUUGUCUUCUUGUUUUACGUUGGCCUUCAACUCUUUUUUACUCUUCUUAUAACCCCCAAAUCAUUCUCUUCAUCAUGAUCACAACACACACAUCUCUCUUUCUAUCUCUAUAAUUCUCUCUCCUCAUCCCCCUUGAAGAAAGGCGAGAGUCUAGGGGGGAUAAAAGGGAGAAGAGAGGAGAGAGUUGGGGAGAAACACACAAAAGGCUAAGGCUUUGACGGGGUGAAGAUUGGAGGCCAUGGAGCUUCUAUUUUGAGGGGAAUGUUGUCUGGCUCGAGGACACUUACCUUAACUUUGAUCCGUUUCUCUAGAUCCAUAUCACCUAUAUAUAUGUAUUAUUGUAUUUUUAUUUGUACUGAGCAUGUGUUGGUGUCGUCGGACCAGGCUUCAUUCCCCCCAAUUAUCGCUUCCAUGGAGAGCUUUUCUCGGGCUUGAUCUUGGGUUCCACGUGCAGUUGCUAACGGGUUUGUUACCUUUGUCCAUUUUUGGGAAUUAUUGGGGGUUUUGAGUAAUGGGUUUUUGAUUUUCAGGCAAAUUGAUUUGGUUCUUGCUGAGGAGGAGACUGGUGUAAUGGUGAAGUGAUUUUUUUCCUGCGGUUUUUGGGAGCAAGAGGGGGUUUACAAUGGUAGGGUUUUAGGUUUUAGAGAAAUUAAGGUUGUUAGGGAUGUGCAGAUUGGUGUAAUGAUGAAGGAUUUUGACUAUUAUACAUUUGCUUGAUCAGCUGCAUAAAAGUAUUUCAUCAUGACUCCUUUUUAUUUUUCUUUUCUUUUUCUCAUCAUGGUGUUUUUGUCAGUCAUAGCCCCUUUUCUGGUUCAUCAUUAGGCAGAUGUUGCUCAUGAUGGCUUUCAGUAUCUGAUCUGUCUGUUUCUGCUACUUUCAGAUCUGGGUUUGAAACCCAACCUUUUUUAAACUCAAAACCACAUCCUCCUCUUCUUGUUUUUCACCGUUCCUCCUCCUCCUCCUCCUCCUCCUCUUCUUCUUCUUUCUGGUUACUUCAUGGUGCAGAUUGGGCUUUUGAUUUCAGAAUCACUGGAUCUUAAAUGUCUAUCUACACUAAGCUAGAAUACCCAUCAGAGAAGUACUACCCUGCAAUGUCAUUGCUUGUUACAGUCCUGUAAUAUCAUAUCGAUUGUCUUGUCUUUCAUUUUGAACUCAACUCAUCUCUGAUUUAUCUUUUGGAUGUAUCCUUUACCUUUUCUCAUCUUUAUGGUGGGCAGGUUUGUGAAGCAUUGUAAUCUCCGUCCCCUUUUGUUUCACUUUCAUCUAAGCAUUUUUUUUUUCUUUUUUGUUAGAAUUCUGAUCCAGGUUUCUGAUCCAUCAUCCAAUUGUAAGCUUUGCAUGGGUAAAGAUUAGAAGGAUCUGCAUUAAUGAUUUUGGGGUUUGUGAUUGAAUAAUAUUUUUGCAAAUUUGAUUUUCUCAUUCUAUUAUUGCAUUAGGGUUUGGGUUCAAUAAUGUUGUAUAGGGAUGUUUUGUCUUAUGUUAGAUCUUUUUAUUUUCUGUAACAUACAUGUAUACCAUAGAUUUGAGCAGUAGAGUUAAGGCAGUAAAACCUGCUUUCAAAUUGUUGGGUGCGUGUCCGAGGCAGACCACUGGUCAUGGCUUUAUUUUCUUCUCAUCUAAAACCCUAGCUUGGCUCAUCCAUGGUUUACUCAUAAAAUAUUAGGUAGAAAUCUUCCCAAGGCUUUCACCAAAGCUCCCACCUUUCAUGGAGUUCAAUAGUGUGAUUCUAAUUGGGUUGUUUCUGAGGAGCAUUUUGCAGGUGAAUUACCCACAAGCUUCAAUGGGUAAACCCACAAUUAGAAGAUGUUGAAUUUCUUCAUAUGUUAUCUUAAACUACACUUUAUAGGGAAUUAUUGAUGAACCCAAGAGAAAGAGUACUCGUCAAAACUAUGCAGAGAAAACAGUUGAUUGUAAAGACAGCUAAGGGAAGAGUCACCAGGCCUCUACACCCAUAGCCUCAAUCACUCUCUCUCUUAUCUCUCCAUUCUUCUUUACACGUUUGAAGCACGUCAGCAUACAAGGUCAGACAUGGAUGGCUCUUCAAGCCAUGAAAUGGAUAUUAAUGGGCUGUGAUGAUCCCACCUCUGAUUUUGAAUCACUGUUCAAUCUUCAUGUCCAAAAAGCUGGCUAGGAAUCUAGGAAGCAAAUGUCAGUUUUUUUUUUUUGUUUUCUCUUUCUUUGUUAUUUACUAUUAAUACAUGGCAUUAUAUUACACAUCCUUGGGAGUCAUCAAACUUUCUCACCCCUAUCUUCAUUGCUGUUGAGACUUUGGGGGAGGGUUUGAGAAUAGGGCUUUGUGUGAAUGGUUUGUGUGGAGAAGUGCCUUUUGGGAAUUUGGAUCUUUUUGACUUUGUAAAUAUAAAGUAGAACACUUGUUACUUUGCUUUA